GAGAUCCGUUGGAAGGAUGAAUGGUAUCAGAGAAGGCGGUAUUGUGGUGCCCGAGCCAAUGCCAGUGUGGCCACCUUCAUCACAUGAGGAGAGAUCAUUGGCCAUUGAUCUUUCAUCCAACGGCUGUAAAAAAGAUAGAAAACUUGUGUGUGUCACGAGUGGGAAUUCUUUCCUGGGCCAUUUCAUCGUCAAGGCGCUUUUGAUUCGAGGGUACUUGGUCCGAGUCAUGGUGCACACACAAGAGGAAUUAGAGGAAUUUCAAAGAAUGGAAGAAUUCAGGAGCGUGGAGAAUGUUGUGAUAGCAAAUAUGGGGAACUUGUGUAGCCUUUGUGAGGCAUUUAGAGGGUGCCAUGCCAUUUUCCAUACCUCUUCCUUUAUCGACCCCAAGGGCAUCUCAGGAUAUUCGGAACGGAUGGCGAUGGUAGAGGCAGAAGGAGCAGCGAACGUGAUCGAAGCUUGCAAGUGGGCCCCAUGCGAGAAAAGAUGCAUUCUCACUUCCUCCUUACUCGCUUCUGUCUGGCCCAGAAAUGUUGUUUCAGGAGUCUUGGAUGAGAGCUGCUGGAGUGAUGAAGAGUUCUGUAGAGCUAACAAGCUAUGGCUUGCAUUGGGUAAGACGAUGAUGGAGAAAGUUGCUUGGAGGAAAUCGGAGGAAAUGCAAGUGAAGUUGGUCAGCGUUUGCCAUGGCCUUCUCACACAUCCAACGGCUCAUAUCGCUCAUCAAUCAGCCUUGAUACCCUAUCUUAAAGGGAGUGUGACCAUGCUUCGACGUGGAGUACUGGCGACCGUCGAUGUGAAUAAAGUUGCAGAGGCCCAUGUCAAGGUUUACGAAGAGAUGGACGGUGGAGCUUGUGGGAGAUAUUUAUGCUUUGAUGGAGUGAUUAGAGGAGAAGAUGAAGUGAUUAGAUUAGAGCAUGAAUUAAAAAUACGUGGGAUAUUAUCAAGAGAGAGAAAUCUACUACAACAAGAAACUGCUGUAGUAGAAAGUAAUUACAUUCUCAGUCAUAUCAUGGGCUCCAUGCAAGCCGAUCAGCUAAAACAGCUGAGAGACAUCUUCGCACGCUUCGACAUGGACUCCGACGGGAGCCUGACCCACCUCGAGUUAGCGGCCCUUCUUCGGUCUCUGGGCCUCAAGCCCAACGGCGAUCAGAUCCAUGUCCUCCUGGCUAACAUCGACUCAAACGGCAACGGCACCGUGGAAUUCGACGAGCUGAUCGACGCCAUCAUGCCCGAGAUGAACCAGGAGACAUUGGUCAACCAGGAGCAGCUGAUGGAGGUUUUCCGAUCCUUCGAUCGCGACGGCAACGGUUACAUAACAGCCGCCGAGCUAGCGCAAUCCAUGGCCAAGAUGGGCCACCCCCUCACGUUCCGAGAGCUGACGGAGAUGUUCCGAGAGGCUGAUACUGACGGCGAUGGCGCGAUCAGCUUCACUGAGUUUGCUUCCGUUAUGGCGAAAUCGGCCGCUGAUUUCCUCGGCAUCGCCAUGUCGUAGCUGGAUAUCUGUACAUUGUUUUCAUCAUGUAUCUGUUAACUACAUCAUCAACAUCGUUAAUCAAUGAUGAGUAAUUACACAUGUUCUUGGGGGAAGCGGAUUGGCUGGUGUACCACAUACCACCAUCCUUCAAGAAGAGUAAUGUACGAAUGGUUGAGAGGAGAUUAAAGUUACAUGAGCCUACAAUGAUUUAUUUAUUAUAUCCAUAUUCAAAGCUGAAGUGGACCAUAUCACAAAGAUUAGUAUAGAUAAUAAUUUUCACUAGAGCUUAUAAUAAUGUUUUUGUUCCAUCCAAUCUGUUCACAAGAUUACAGAACUAAAUGAAGAGAAAAAAUAAAUAUUAAAUUGAUUCAAAACUUCUAU